UAUGGAAUGUUGACACCACAAACAAUAUUUCAACAACCGUUCACAACAGCCGCCUCAAACAGAGAUCGGAGAAAAAUUCAUCGGUGAGUCAGGCCUUAAAAAUAGAGUGGUUUUCCGGUGGUAAUAGAGAGAGAAAAAGAAACAGAUGUAGGACAGUGGAUCUCCAACAAAACCGUCAUCUCCGGCGACGGUUAAACAGCCGGAGAUCGUAGGAACCGAGUCGUCGCUGCCAGUGAAAUAUGCCGGACUGGUUGAAGAUGAUUGUAGCGCCGGUUAACCGAAAGUUCGAUGAUGCGUACCCGGAUUUGAGGAACGACGGUUAUUGAAAUUGGAGAAAAACUGUUGAAGAAUAAGUGGUGUGUUCCGCAGGAUGUGAGGAACAGAAGGUUGUCUUUCAGCGGAGAGUCAAGGUGCUGAUAACGUGAUAAAAACCAAAGAGCAAUAGAGAUAAAACUGAAUUCACAUAUUCAUUCUAUUCAACAUUACAAUAUAUAGAUAAAUAAAACCAUAAACCCUAAAGCCCAUAAGUAAUGGGUUGGGCCUAAAAUGUCUGGUUUA
rnacentral:lncRNA from 1 species